rnacentral:siRNA from 1 species
GAGAGGGAUGCAACACGAGGA